ACUGAACGCUGGCGGCAGGCCUAACACAUGCAAGUCGAGCGGUUGACGGGAGCUUGCUCCCUGAUUCAGCGGCGGACGGGUGAGUAAUGCCUAGGAAUCUGCCUAUUAGUGGGGGACAACGUUUCGAAAGGAACGCUAAUACCGCAUACGUCCUACGGGAGAAAGCAGGGGACCUUCGGGCCUGGCGCUAAUAGAUGAGCCUAGGUCGGAUUAGCUUGUUGGUGAGGUAAUGGCUCACCAAGGCGACGAUCCGUAACUGGUCUGAGAGGAUGAUCAGUCACACUGGAACUGAGGCACGGUCCAGACUCCUACGGGAGGCAGCAGUGGGGAAUAUUGGACAAUGGGCGAAAGCCUGAUCCAGCCAUGCCGCGUGUGUGAAGAAGGUCUUCGGAUUGUAAAGCACUUUAAGUUGGGAGGAAGGGUUGUAGAUUAAUACUCUGCAAUUUUGACGUUACCGACAGAAUAAGCACCGGCUAACUCUGUGCCAGCCGCCGCCGUAA
rnacentral:rRNA from 1 species